rnacentral:tRNA from 1 species
UGGAGUGGCUAAUUCAGGACGACAUCCCGUCUAUUCACACCCGAGUGACGCUUGCUAACGGCGAUA